rnacentral:rRNA from 1 species
GAUGAACGCUGGCGGCGUGCUUAACACAUGCAAGUCGAACGGUGAAGGCGGAGCUUGCUCUGCUGGAUCAGUGGCGAACGGGUGAGUAACACGUGAGCAAUCUGCCCCUGACUCUGGGAUAAGCGCUGGAAACGGCGUCUAAUACUGGAUACGAGCUACGAAGGCAUCUUCAGCAGCUGGAAAGAAUUUCGGUCAGGGAUGAGCUCGCGGCCUAUCAGCUUGUUGGUGAGGUAAUGGCUCACCAAGGCGUCGACGGGUAGCCGGCCUGAGAGGGUGACCGGCCACACUGGGACUGAGACACGGCCCAGACUCCUACGGGAGGCAGCAGUGGGGAAUAUUGCACAAUGGGCGAAAGCCUGAUGCAGCAACGCCGCGUGAGGGACGACGGCCUUCGGGUUGUAAACCUCUUUUAGCAGGGAAGAAGCGAAAGUGACGGUACCUGCAGAAAAAGCGCCGGCUAACUACGUG